rnacentral:rRNA from 1 species
ACCUACGGGAGGCAACAGUGAGGAAUAUUGGUCAAUGGUCGGGAGACUGAACCAGCCAAGCCGCGUGAGGGAGGAAGGUACAGAGUAUCGUAAACCUCUUUUGUCAGGGAACAAAGACUGGGACGCGUCCCCGGAUGAGUGUACCCGAAGAAAAAGCAUCGGCUAACUCCGUGCCAGCAGCCGCGGUAAUACGGAGGAUGCGAGCGUUAUCCGGAUUUAUUGGGUUUAAAGGGUGCGUAGGCGGUCCGUUAAGUCAGCGGUAAAUUUGCGGGG